UGGGGAAUAUUGCACAAUGGGGGAAAGCCCUGAUGCAGCGACGCCGCGUGAAGGAUGAAGUAUUUCGGUAUGUAAACUUCUAUCAGCAGGGAAGAAAAUGACGGUACCUGACUAAGAAGCCCCGGCUAACUACGUGCCAGCAGCCGCGGUAAUACGUAGGGGGCAAGCGUUAUCCGGAUUUACUGGGUGUAAAGGGAGCGUAGACGGAAGUGCAAGUCUGAAGUGAAAGGCUGGGGCUCAACCCCGGGACUGCUUUGGAAACUGUUAGGCUGGAGUGCAGGAGAGGUAAGUGGAAUUCCUAGUGUAGCGGUGAAAUGCGUAGAUAUUAGGAGGAACACCAGUGGCGAAGGCGGCUUACUGGACUGUAACUGACGUUGAGGCUCGAAAGCGUGGGGAGCAAACAGGAUUAGAUACCC
rnacentral:rRNA from 1 species